rnacentral:tRNA from 1 species
AAAAUCCCGUCGAUUUUUUGAAUCAUGAGG